CUUCUGUCCACGUUGCCAAUCUAAGUAGUAGUGCCGCAGGUACUGAUUUUAAAAGGCUUACCUGUACACGACUACUUAAAUUGGCAACGGUUGGAAUAUCA
rnacentral:pre_miRNA from 1 species